rnacentral:rRNA from 1 species
UGCAGUCGAGCGAGGUCUUCGGGCCUAGCGGCGGACGGGUGAGUAACGCGUGGGAACGUGCCCUUUGCUACGGAAUAGUCCCGGGAAACUGGGUUUAAUACCGUAUGUGCCCUCCAUUUUGGCGAUGGUUGGGGAAAGAUUUAUCGGCAAAGGAUCGGCCCGCGUUGGAUUAGGUAGUUGGUGGGGUAAUGGCCUACCAAGCCGACGAUCCAUAGCUGGUUUGAGAGGAUGAUCAGCCACACUGGGACUGAGACACGGCCCAGACUCCUACGGGAGGCAGCAGUGGGGAAUCUUAGACAAUGGGGGCAACCCUGAUCUAGCCAUGCCGCGUGAGUGAUGAAGGCCCUAGGGUUGUAAAGCUCUUUCAGCUGGGAAGAUAAUGACGGUACCAGCAGAAGAAGCCCCGGCUAACUCCGUGCCAGCAGCCGCGGUAAUACGGAGGGGGCUAGCGUUGUUCGGAAUUACUGGGCGUAAAGCGCACGUAGGCGGACUGGAAAGUUGGGGGUGAAAUCCCGGGGCUCAACCUCGGAACUGCCUUCAAAACUAUCAGUCUGGAGUUCGAGAGAGGUGAGUGGAAUUCCGAGUGUAGAGGUGAAAUUCGUACAUAUUCGGAGGAACACCAG